GGAACUAGAGACCGGCGCACGGGUGCGUAACGCGUAUGCAAUCUACCUUUUACAAAGGGAUAGCCCAGAGAAAUUUGGAUUAAUACCUUAUAGUAUUACAUUUUGGCAUCAAGAAGUAAUUAAAGAUUUAUCGGUAAAAGAUGAGCAUGCGUCCCAUUAGCUAGUUGGUAAGGUAACGGCUUACCAAGGCAACGAUGGGUAGGGGUCCUGAGAGGGAGAUCCCCCACACUGGUACUGAGACACGGACCAGACUCCUACGGGAGGCAGCAGUGAGGAAUAUUGGUCAAUGGACGCAAGUCUGAACCAGCCAUGCCGCGUGCAGGAUGACGGUCCUAUGGAUUGUAAACUGCUUUUAUACAGGAAGAAACCCUACUUCGUGAAGUAGAUUGACGGUACUGUAAGAAUAAGGAUCGGCUAACUCCGUGCCAGCAGCCGCGGUAAUACGGAGGAUCCAAGCGUUAUCCGGAAUCAUUGGGUUUAAAGGGUCCGUAGGCGGCCUAGCAAGUCAGUGGUGAAAUCUCCCCGCUCAACGGGGAAACGGCCAUUGAUACUACUAGGCUUGAAUUAUUAGGAAGUAACUAGAAUAUGUAGUGUAGCGGUGAAAUGCUUAGAUAUUACAUGGAA
rnacentral:rRNA from 1 species